rnacentral:rRNA from 1 species
GACGAACGCUGGCGGCGUGCUUAACACGUGCAAGUCGAACGGAAAGGCCCUGCUUUUGUGGGGUGCUCGAGUGGCGAACGGGUGAGUAACACGUGAGUAACCUGCCCUUGACUUUGGGAUAACUUCAGGAAACUGGGGCUAUACCGGAUAGGGGCUCCUGCUGCAUGGUGGGGGUUGGAAAGUUUCGGCGGUUGGGGAUGGACUCGCGGCUUAUCAGCUUGUUGGUGGGGUAGUGGCUUACCAAGGCUUUGACGGGUAGCCGGCCUGAGAGGGUGACCGGCCACAUUGGGACUGAGAUACGGCCCAGACUCCUACGGGAGGCAGCAGUGGGGAAUAUUGCACAAUGGGCGGAAGCCUGAUGCAGCAACGCCGCGUGCGGGAUGACGGCCUUCGGGUUGUAAACCGCUUUCGCCUGUGACGAAGCGUGAGUGACGGUAAUGGGUAAAGAAGCACCGGCUAACUACGUG